rnacentral:rRNA from 1 species
AUUGAACGCUGGCGGCAGGCUUAACACAUGCAAGUCGAGCGGGGUGAUGGUGCUUGCACUAUCACUUAGCGGCGGACGGGUGAGUAAUGCUUAGGAAUCUGCCUAUUAGUGGGGGACAACAUCUCGAAAGGGAUGCUAAUACCGCAUACGUCCUACGGGAGAAAGCAGGGGAUCACUUGUGACCUUGCGCUACUAGAUGAGCCUAAGUCGGAUUAGCUAGUUGGUGGGGUAAAGGCCUACCAAGGCGACGAUCUGUAGCGGGUCGGAGAGGACGAUCCGCCACACUGGGACUGAGACACGGCCCAGACUCCUACGGGAGGCAGCAGUGGGGAAUAUUGGACAAUGGGGGGAACCCUGAUCCAGCCAUGCCGCGUGUGUGAAGAAGGCCUUAUGGUUGUAAAGCACUUUAAGCGAGGAGGAGGCUCUUUUGGUUAAUACCCAAGAUGAGUGGACGUUACUCGCAGAAUAAGCACCGGCUAACUCUGUGCCAGCCGCCGCAGUAA